GCAAAAGAAAACAAAGGAUAAACAAAACCCGGAACGUUUAAAUAUGGUGACAAUUUCUUUUUCAACCGGAACAUACAAAUUAAAAAGAAAAAACGAGCUGUCGCUACACUGUAAUUAGUACGUAUGAGGUCUCGGUCUUGCAAUUACAGCGUAGCGACGGCUCGUUUUUGUUUUUAAUUUUUGUUCCGGUUGAAAAAGAAAUUGUCACCAUUUUGAAACGUUCCGGGUUUGUUUAUCCUUUGUUUUCUUUUGUAGCCUUUCCCCAAACUAAGUUGUUCUUUUUUUAAAUAUCAUUCCUAGUAGCUCAUUUUUGUUUUUUCUCAAAAUUAUUCUUUUAAAAUUUACUCUUUUAAUUCCAACUGUAACAAUUUUCUCUUUCAAUUCUAGAAUGCUGAUUACGCAACUGUCAAAAAACAAAAAGAUCCUAUUCAUGAAGCUGAUGACCAUGACGAGAAGAAAUACACAGCAGAAGAGAAAGUGGUGGAGGAGGAGGAAGAAACAAAAAAGAGUGUUCAGAGAGGAAGCAAGAAAUUGAAAAAAGGCUCUCUUUGAGCAAAAACAUCGAUGUUAUCCUAGACCAAAAGCCAUCAGAAAAAAGGAAGUCCCUGAUCGCAAGUGACUCUCAAAGCAGUGACAAAGAGAAGGAAACCGUGGAAGAAAAAAGGGUGUCCGUUGUAGACCCAGAUGUAGGAAAUCUGGCAGACGAACUUGCAGAUUUGACAUUCGAGCAGAAAAGAUUGUCCUUUGAAAAAGGUGCAUCUCUGGAAAAGAAGAAAUCCGAGGAAAAACCUCUAGAUUGCGUCCAAACAUCCUUUGACAAAGGAGUGUCUCUAGAAAGAAAAAUCUCUGCAGAUAAACCGUCGGAAGUUUCAAAACCUACCUCAGAGCCCAGAAUAUCAGAAGAUAAAGUGGAACAAUCUGGUGGAAAAGUUUCUGACUCAAUCAAAACUGAGAGUGCAAAAAUAGUCGAGGCAGAAAAACAAAUGACGGAACAAGGAAAAUCCCAGGCUUCAGCAGAAACUGAAGAGAAGCAAUUGAGCUUUCAAGAAAAGAGACUCUCCUUUGAGCGCGGGUUAUCACAGACUAGCAUCACACCAGUUGUAAAGGACAAGACGGAAAUUAGCGUAGAAACCAAAGAAACUGGACCAACGGCAGAGGAAAAAAGAAGAAAUUCAGUGCUUUUGAAGGUGUGAGUCAAGGCCUGGAAAAGCUUGACACAACCCCAGACAAAUUCAGUCAACCUCCACAGGGUAAGUUUUCAGCUCUUUUUUCAGAAAUGUUGAUAUUUUAAAUUUUGGUAAGAUACCGUAAAGAAGGCUGAUUUCUCCUCAGUGACGAAAAUUUUGAAAAUUUCCUAAACUUCAUGUCGAGAGCCAAGGAACAAUACCGCCUAAAUGACUUUUUUGGCGAAAAUGAGUCAGCAACUUCGCUGCAUUCUUCAGUAUUAAAUACGCAAGCUGAUGUAUUUAGUUUUUUCCAAUGGACCACUAGACAAGGUACGAAUUUAAGCAAUCUGAUACAUGUUUCCUAACCAGAAUAUCACGUAAAACACGAUUCACACCACGUAAAUUACUGGAACUAACUCCUUACGAAGAUAUUAACGUUUUUAUUUCACAUUGGUUACGAGGAAUUUGAACUGCCCGCUCAUAAGAAACUCAAAGCUCUACGUGAGUCAAAUCGCGCUUUACAACGGUUUCGGCCAGCUUCUCAAUCAAACAAUGUUCAUUUUCCACCAUGUGUUGUUCAAACUAUUAGCAAUUUUCUAUAGCUGAGCCAAAGUGUCAAGAUUGAGGUUGCCAGAUUUUUAUAUUGCAGAGACUGUCAUGAUAACGUUUAGUGCGCGAUGUGAAUCACGCAGAGCAUUGAGUUUUCGUGAGCGGGUGGUUUGAAUUCACGCAUCAAGAAUCAUCAAAUAUCUUCGUAAGGAGUUUAUUUCGGUAAUUUUCACUGUGCGUAUCAUGUUCUACGUGAAAUUUUGGUUAAGAAACAUGUAUCAGAAUGCGAAAAUUCGUACCUUGUCUAGUGAUCCAUUUGCCAAUAUUAAUGAUGAAAAGGCGUAAGAGUUCAGAAUUAGCUUUGAAGAAAUCUCAAUGCAGACUUUUAAAUAUGUACUGUAGCUUAUACUCCUUGUUUUUAUAAUUUCAGAUCUUUUAUCCCCCAAAGUUGUGAAGACACCACCACCAAGCCCAGCAGAGUUCAAGGACCCUGCAUGGAGUAACUCAUCAUCACAAUCAUCCCAAGAAGGAAAAGCACUGGAUGUCGAUGGGGCAGCACAAGGUAAGAACUUCAAAUCUUUUGCUCAAUUUAUUGUGUGAUGAGGUCCUUGACCUUUGGCUGAACAGUCUCUUCUCUAACAGCUCUUGGUUUAUUUUUUGAUCUUCAAAACGCUGCAACAAAGGCAUUUUGAGAUGUGCAGAAAUUUUCACUUACUAGAGAUAAUCUUAUUCUGCCUUUUGGUUCUCUAAUCACCAAUUUUAUUAUGACACUCC
rnacentral:lncRNA from 1 species